GAUGAACGCUGGCGGCGCGCCUAACACAUGCAAGUCGAACGAUUAAAGCACCUUCGGGUGUGUAUAAAGUGGCGAACGGCUGAGUAACACGUGGGCAACCUGCCCCUCUCAUUGGGAUAGCCACGGGAAACCGUGGAUAAUACCGAAUACUUCGGGACUUCCGCAUGGAAGACUCGAGAAAGCUCCGGCGGAGUGGGAUGGGCCCUCGGCCUGUUAGCUUGUUGGUGGGGUAAUGGCCUACCAAGGCAAUGAUGGGUAGCUGGGUUGAGAGACCGACCAGCCAGCUUGGGACUGAGGCACGGCCCAGACUCCAACGUGAGGCAGCAGUGGGGAAUCUUGCACAAUGGGCGCAAGCCUGAUGCAGCGACGCCGCGUGCGGGAUGAAGGCCUUCGGGUUGUAAACCGCUUUCAGCAGGGACGAGGCGAAAGUGACGGUACCUGCAGAAGAAGCCCCGGCUAACUACGUG
rnacentral:rRNA from 1 species